rnacentral:tRNA from 1 species
GGAUUGUGGCUCAGUGGUAGAGCACUUGCCUAGCAUAUAUGAGGCACUGGGUUCGUGUCUCAGCACCA